rnacentral:rRNA from 1 species
GCAAGUCGAACGCAGAUGUAAAUCUAAGUGGCGGACGGGUGAGUAACGCGUGAGAAUCUGCCUCAAGGAGGGGAACAACAGUUGGAAACGACUGCUAAUGCCCAAUAUGCUGAGAAGCGAAAUAGAGUAAUCUGCCUUGAGAGGAGCUCGCGUCUGAUUAGUUUGUUGGUGGGGUAAAGGCCUACCAAGACUACGAUCAGUAGUUGGUCUUAGAGGAUGAUC